rnacentral:rRNA from 1 species
GACAGAGGGUGCAAACGUUGUUCGGAAUUACUGGGCGUAAAGCGUGUGUAGGCGGCCUCGCAAGUCGGAUGUGAAAGCCCCGGGCUCAACCCGGGAAGUGCACUCGAUACUGCUUGGCUAGAGUCUCGGAGAGGUUGGUGGGAUUCUCGGUGUAGAGGUGAAAUUCGUAGAUAUCAGGAGGAACACCAACGGCGAAGGCAGCUCGCUGGGACGGUACUGACACUGAGGCGCGAAAGCGUGGGGAGCGAACAGG